rnacentral:rRNA from 1 species
UCCGAAAGGGGCUAACGUUGUUCGGAAUUACUGGGCGUAAAGCGCACGUAGGCGGCUUGGUAAGUUGGGGGUGAGAUCCCAGGGCUCAACCCUGGAACUGCCUCCAAAACUGCUAGGCUAGAGGAUGCGAGAGGUUGGCGGAAUUCCGAGUGUAGAGGUGAAAUUCGUAGAUAUUCGGAAGAACACCAGUGGCGAAGGCGGCCAACUGGCGCAUUUCUGACGCUGAGGUGCGAAAGCGUGGGGAGAAAACAGG